rnacentral:rRNA from 1 species
CACGUAGGAUCCAAGCGUUAUCCGGAUUUACUGGGCGUAAAGCGCGUGCAGGUGGUUUGUUAAGUUGGAUGUUAAAUCUCUUGGCUCAACUGAGAGGUGUCGUUCAAAACUAGCAGACUGGAGGACGGUAGAGGAAGGUAGAAUUCCGGGUGUAGUGGUGAAAUGCGUAGAUAUCCGGAGGAAUACCAGUGGCGAAGGCGGCCUUCUGGACCGUUCCUGACACUCAGACGCGAAAGCUAGGGGAGCAAAC